rnacentral:lncRNA from 1 species
AUUUGCCAGGAAAUAUCAGGAUUUCUUUUUCCUAACGUCUACAUAAACUGGCAUCAUGUGUGUUUAGGCUAUUCAUUUGUUAGCUGAUGUCAGUAGAGAAGGAAUCCCUGUGUUAGACUGUAGAAUCCUUUGGGUGUAUGCUCAGAAGUGGUACAACUGGGUCAUACGAUAGUUCUUUUUUUUUUUUUAAAGAUUUAUUUAUUUAUUUUAUAUGAGUACACUGUAGCUGUCUUCAGACACUCCAGAAGAGCACAUCAGAUCCCAUUACGCUGGGAAUUGAACUCAGGACCUCUGGAAGAGCAGUCAGUGCCCUUAACCUCUGAGCCAUCAGUAGUUCUAAUUUCAGCCUUUGGAGACCCUUCCAUAUGGAUUUCCAUAGUGGCUGCAGCAGUUUAUAUUCCCACUAACAGUGGGUAGCCAUUGCCCUUCCUCCAUAGGCUGCUCAGCAUGUAGAGGCCUGGAGAUAGCCAUUCUGAUUAAGGUAAGACAGAAUCUCAAUUUUAAUUUUCCUUCAUGCCUAGCCACUCUUAGAACAUAGAUGUUGCAAAAUCAUUGUAUUUUAUUGAGUUAUAGAUGACCUCAUAAAAUCUACUGUUAGAGCAAGCUAUUUUAACUUCGUUGUGUCUCCGUUCAGACUUCAUCCCUGGAUCUUGUUUAGCCUCACCAUUCAUAGGAUUUUUAACUUUCCCAUGCUUGAAGUAUUGUGAAAUCUUUCUGUUAAAUUCAAAAGAAGUGGGAAGAGGGUGGCUUUACGAUAAGUCUGCUCAGGCAUCUUGACCAAAGCAAUUAGAAUCAUGUUGAUGUUCUGUCUUUCUGACUCCUGUAUUAACUAAUACUGUUUAAAAAAAAAAACUUUAAAAUUUUUUGAGGAUUUGCUAAAGAUGAACAUGAGAAAGGGUAAGAAACGUUACCUUUGCCAUCUCAGUGCUUUAAAAUUGCUGGCUAGUGUAAAGCUAAGCAGAAUUUGGCAGACAGCAGCUGUGCAUUUGUCACCUCUUCCCAGCAACUUGAAGGCCCUCGAGAUCCAGCUGCAACUGCCUGGGACCGGCGGCCAGCAAAAGAAAUCCACCUAGAACUUGAGAGAACAGAGGGAAGGUGACAACCUUCAGGAGCCUCCUGAAGCAAAGACCGAGGUUGGCCACUGGAGUGCAGCACCGAGCAAGGGACACCGGACCUGUGGGGCGUGGUGGCAGCGUGUGUUGUCUUGUGUGUUGUCUUCCCUAUGGAGAUGGGGGCACACGUGCCCCACCUGCCUCCCUAGGCUGUGAUCUGGAAAACUGCCUUCAUUUCCUGCACAGUGCCAAGAGGAGACUGCUGCCUGGCCAACGUGCUCAGCCCUUGGCCUCUCCUCGAGGUAAAGCUCUUCCCUUCUUGGAGAUGUCUUUUCCUUGGGGCUUCUGGAAAAACCUUGAGCAGCGCUCCAUGGUCUUGGAGACCUCUGUCAGGGUCACGUUUGAGUUGGGUGGUGGCAACUUUCCUCCUCCAGAGCACUCUAGAGUGCUCCAGCACUUUGGAAAACACUAAUAUUUCACAGGAUCCCAGAUUGGCUCAUACCAACUCCCCCACCCACCCCCUGUCUCUUCUCACUCUUUUUGCUACUCUGGAGUCCAAAAGAUGUGGGACGAGGCUGUAUGGCUAAUAAAGACGAGACUAAGGCUCUAUAGUAACUGGUCUGUUGUUCUCAGGUUUCAUAUGCUAGAUUUUAUGACUAUGGUGAAUAAUUCCGACACAUUGCUAAAUGUUUAUCUCUUGAGAAGUACUGGCGUUGUGCUUAUUAAUAAACAUUGCUCCAAGUAUC